rnacentral:rRNA from 1 species
ACUCCUACGGGAGGCAGCAGUGGGGAAUUUUGGACAAUGGGGGCAACCCUGAUCCAGCCAUGCCGCGUGAGUGAAGAAGGCCUCGGGUUGUAAGCUCUUCGGCGGGGAAGGAAAUGGCAACGGCUAAUAUCCGUUGUUGAUGACGGUACCCGCAUAAGAAGCACCGGCUAACUACGUGCCAGCAGCCGCGGUAAUACGUAGGGUGCGAGCGUUAAUCGGAAUUACUGGGCGUAAAGCGUGCGCAGGCGGUUUCGUAAGACAGACGUGAAAUCCCCGGGCUCAACCUGGGAACUGCGUUUGUGACUGCGAGGCUAGAGUACGGCGAGAGGGGGUAGAAUUCCACGUGUAGCAGUGAAAUGCGUAGAGAUGUGGAGGAAUACCGAUGGCGAAGGCAGCCCCCUGGGUUAGUACUGACGCUCAUGCACGAAAGCGUGGGAGCAAACAGGAUUAGAUACCCUGGUAGGAUAGCG